rnacentral:rRNA from 1 species
CCUACGGUGGGCAGCAGUGGGGAAUAUUGCGCAAUGGGGGGAAGCCUGAUGCAGCGACGCCGCGUGGGGGAUGGAGUAUUUCGGUAUGUAAAGCUCUGUCAGCAGGGAAGAACAGUGACUGUACCAGACUAAGAAGCACCGACAAAAUACGUGCCAGCAGCCGCGGUAAUACGUAUGGUGGAAGCGUUAGCCGGAUUGACUGGGUGUAAAGUGAGCGCAGGCGGUGCGUUAAGACUGGUGUGAAAGUCCCGGGCCCAACCGGGGGACUGCAUUGGGAACUGGCGCGCUGGAGUGCGGGAGGGGAUGGUGGAAUUCCUGGUGUAGCGGUGAAAUGCGUAGAUAUCAGGAGGAACAUCAGUGGCGAAGGCGACCAUCUGG